CAUUUUUUUUUGAGCUCUUGCACUAGCAGGAUUUAAAUUGUGGUGGUUUUCAUUGAUCUUGACCACCUGAAAACAGAGAGGCCUGUUUGUGAGCAAAGAAUGACAUGGCUUCUUGGGAUUUUUACUUUUUGGCUGUUGAUGGUUAUGAUUUUGGCACAGAAGAGUUCCAAUGUCCUGUCUACACAGAGGAAUUUCAAUGUGGUGCCAGCACAGAAUUUUAACCAACGAACAGGCCUGAAGACUGAUGUUCUGGGAAGUUAUAUGAGGCUAACUGUAGACAAGUCUCUUACUCUUGGAAAUCAAGUUG